UGGGAGAGCGCCUGCUUUGCACGCAGGAGGUCUGCGGUUCGAUCCCGCAUAGCUCCACCA
rnacentral:tRNA from 1 species